AGCUGAUCGAGAAGUGCUGGACAGAGGAUGAAGUGAAACGCUUCGUUAAGGGGCUCCGACAGUACGGCAAGAACUUCUUCAGAAUCAGAAAGGAGCUGCUUCCCAAUAAGGAAACCGUUCUGGAGAGACUUGGUGUGGAGAGCAGAGCAGCAGUGAUGUAGAAACUCUCCUUAAGUUUUCAGAGACUCUUUUUUCUAAGUUUGUUGCAUACAUUAAAAAAUGAAAGUGACUUG
rnacentral:lncRNA from 1 species